rnacentral:lncRNA from 1 species
AAACAAAGGAGAAAAGAGAAAAUUCAUUAAAAAAAAAUAGAAAAUCAGUGAAAAAUGUGAAAAAAUAAAAAUCAGAUGAAAAAAAAUAAAAGAGAAAUUUAGAAAUUAUUUUGGGAUUUUUUGGAUAAAAAAUAAAAUUACUACGAAUUUUUAAAGAAAAAGAAAUUUAAAAUAAUAAAAGAAAAAUAAUUAAAAACAUAAA